CAGGAUGUAGGCAUGUAUCUUAGGCAAAUCCGGGGUACUCUAUGCUGAGAUCUGAUAGCAAGCUGUACUUGUAUAGCGAAGUGGUUGAUGCCAUGCUUCCAGGAAAAGUCUCUAAGCUUCAGUUACACAGGAAUCGUACCCGAAACCGACACAGGUGGUCAGGUCGAGUAGACCAAGGCGCUUGAGAGAACUCUGCUGAAGGAACUAGGCAAAAUGGUACCGUAACUUCGGGAGAAGGUACGCCGUUGUUGGUGAUGGAACUCGCUUCCUGAGCUGACGACAGCCGCAGAAACCAGGCCGCUGCAACUGUUUAUUAAAAACAUAGCACUCUGCAAACACGAAAGUGGACGUAUAGGGUGUGAUGCCUGCCCGGUGCUGGAAGGUUAAUUGAUGGGGUUAGCGUAAGCGAAGCUCUUGAUCGAAGCCCCAGUAAACGGCGGCCGUAACAAUAACGGUCCUAAGGUAGCGAAAUUCCUUGUCGGGUAAGUUCCGACCUGCACGAAUGGCAUAAUGAUGGCGGCGCUGUCUCCAGCAGAGGCUCAGUGAAAUCGAAAUCGCUGUGAAGAUGCAGUGUACCCGCGGCUAGACGGAAAGACCCUGUGAACCUUUACUGCAGCUUGACACUGAACUUUGACCUUACUUGUGUAGGAUAGGUGGGAGGCUUUGAAGCUGGAGCGCUAGUUCCAGUGGAGCCGUCCUUGAAAUACCACCCUGGUAAUGUUGAGGUUCUAACUCUGUCCCGUGAUCCGGGACGAGGACCGUGUCUGGUGGGUAGUUUGACUGGGGCGGUCUCCUCCUAAAGAGUAACGGAGGAGUACGAAGGUGCGCUCAGCGUGGUCGGAAAUCACGCGUAGAGUAUAAAGGCAAAAGCGCGCUUAACUGCGAGACCCACAAGUCGAGCAGGUACGAAAGUAGGUCUUAGUGAUCCGGUGGUUCUGUAUGGAAGGGCCAUCGCUCAACGGAUAAAAGGUACUCUGGGGAUAACAGGCUGAUACCGCCCAAGAGUUCAUAUCGACGGCGGUGUUUGGCACCUCGAUGUCGGCUCAUCUCAUCCUGGGGCUGAAGCAGGUCCCAAGGGUAUGGCUGUUCGCCAUUUAAAGAGGUACGCGAGCUGGGUUUAGAACGUCGUGAGACAGUUCGGUCCCUAUCUACCGUGGGCGCUGGAAAUUUGAGAGGAUCUGCUCCUAGUACGAGAGGACCAGAGUGGACGAACCUCUGGUGUACCGGUUGUGACGCCAGUCGCAUUGCCGGGUAGCUAUGUUCGGAAGGGAUAACCGCUGAAAGCAUCUAAGCGGGAAGCCUACCUCAAGAUAAGAUUUCCCUAGGACUUUAUGUCCUCUAAAGAGCCGUUCGAGACUAGGACGUUGAUAGGUUGGAUGUGGAAGCAUAGUGAUAUGUGAAGCUGACCAAUACUAAUUGCUCGUGAGGCUUGAC
rnacentral:rRNA from 1 species